rnacentral:rRNA from 1 species
ACAUCGCUGACGAGUGGCGGACGGGUGAGUAAUGCUUGGGAACUUGCCUUUGCGAGGGGGAUAACAGUUGGAAACGACUGCUAAUACCGCAUAAUGUCUUCGGACCAAACGGGGCUUAGGCUCCGGCGCAAAGAGAGGCCCAAGUGAGAUUAGCUAGUUGGUAAGGUAAUGGCUUACCAAGGCGACGAUCUCUAGCUGUUCUGAGAGGAAGAUCAGCCACACUGGGACUGAGACACGGCCCAGACUCCUACGGGAGGCAGCAGUGGGGAAUAUUGCACAAUGGGGGAAACCCUGAUGCAGCCAUGCCGCGUGUGUGAAGAAGGCCUUCGGGUUGUAAAGCACUUUCAGUUGUGAGGAAAAGUUAGUAGUUAAUACCUGCUAGCCGUGACGUUAACAACAGAAGAAGCACCGGCUAACUCCGUGCCAGCAGCCGCGGUAAUACGGAGGGUGCGAGCGUUAAUCGGAAUUACUGGGCGUAAAGCGCACGCAGGCGGUUUGUUAAGCUAGAUGUGAAAGCCCCGGGCUCAACCUGGGAUGGUCAUUUAGAACUGGCAGACUAGAGUCUUGGAGAGGGGAGUGGAAUUCCAGGUGUAGCGGUGAA